CAGCAGCCGCGGUAAUACGUAGGGUGCGAGCGUUAAUCGGAAUUACUGGGCGUAAAGCGUGCGCAGGCGGUUCGUUAAGACAGAUGUGAAAUCCCCGGGCUUAACCUGGGAACUGCAUUUGUGACUGGCGAGCUAGAGUAUGGCAGAGGGGGGUAGAAUUCCACGUGUAGCAGUGAAAUGCGUAGAGAUGUGGAGGAAUACCGAUGGCGAAGGCAGCCCCCUGGGCCAAUACUGACGCUCAUGCACGAAAGCGUGGGGAGCAAACAGGAUUAGAUACCCCGGUAGUCCCUGUCUCUUAUAC
rnacentral:rRNA from 1 species